UAAAUCUUAUUACCUUGAAUUUUAUAAGGUUUAAAGCCGCGAAGUUCACAGGCUUAAUUAGCACAAAGACUACACUCCAUUAUCUCAAGCAUGACUCCACUAUUUCGAGUAUGACUCUAUCUUGAAACAAAACCUUAGUUUAGCAACUCUAGUCCCCCAAGAAAAAUGGAUGGAGACAAUAAUUAAGCUAGCAAAAAUGACAAAAAUAUCAUUAGCUUUCAUGCUUAUAGUUGUAACUAAAAUGUCUAUUCACAUAGUGCUUCAUCCAAAUACUAACAUAAAAAUAACUGUGAAGUUGAUCGGAUGGAAAGAAAGAGACAAGACUCUGCUGGUUGAUCCAGAAGAGAUAAACUGUUUAAAAGGGGUGGGUAGAUUGGACGAGGAAGCAGACUCAAUAUAUGAGCUUUACAAGUCCCCUAACGCAAGUAUGGAGGCUGGUUCAAUUUGGAAAGACAUAGUAUUGUCAUCAUCAAGGUUAAACAUUCAAAAGGAGUUGAAGUAUUGCAUCCAAAAAGUUGAAAGAUCAAAAUCAUAUGCUAAAGUUCAAUGCAGAUGAAAUUAUGAGGAAAAGAUCAACAUAGAAGCAAGCAUCUGAUUUUUCACCAAGUUUCACAAAGGAAUAUCACACCAGGGUUGUGCUAAAUAUGACUGGUUUUUUAUGUAACAUUCCUCUUCCUAUUUUAUGCGUUCUUUUGUUCAUUAGGAGGCCCAUCAAGCUUACAUAAUGGGAGGUAGCCACUCCCUCUCUAAUUCCAACCUAGAAUUAAUUUUACUAGCAAAUUUGAUUGGAAUGAAAAAAGUAAGAUACAAGGCAUCACAUAUAAUUAUUCAACACUGGAAUUACACGAGAAUAAUAUUUAGAAAGGAGAAGAAUCACACCACAACAUAAGCCAUUUACCAAGUGUUAUCUUCAUUCACAACUCUUGUCAACAUAAAAUUAGCCAACUUCUAUCCCUGAUAGAGGUUUCUAGAGAUAGUUAAAAUUCAAAACAAGAAUAACUGUAAACUAAAAACAAACAUAGCAACAUUGAAGCACUGAAUCAAACUAGGAUUUUUAAUGAUCUUUAGAUAUUUAAAUUUCAAAUUUUAUCCUCAAAUCUAAUUAUGUAUAUUGCAACCCAUCCACAAAAGUCUUUUUUUUUUUUCCUCUCUCUCUAAGUUUCCUCUAAUAGGUGAUGUUACAGUUGUUUCUCUUAGGAGCUCCACAGCUUUCAAAAUAUUCCAACUUAAUUUUACCCAUAAUCACUAAACUUAAAUGCAUCAACCAACUCUAUAGAAUGUCACUAUUGCCAAAUUUUAGUAGAAAUUUAGCCAAAACUUUUAUCUAUUAAUUAAGAAAACAUGAUAGCUUAUUUUUAAUUUUAUUAAGUAUACACAAAAUAACUUGGUUAUCAUGCAAAAAUUUGGCUAAAAUUUUUUAUCAACAUCUUGGAAUAAUAACCUCAUUGAAAAAAACAAAGUUAAAUAAUUUUAUUGAUACUUAUUGAAUUGUACUAAAAUAAGAACAAAUCCAAUGAUCAUGGUGAAAUUAAGCUAAAUAUUCAAUUUUGAAUUUUUUAUUAGGAAUAUAUAGCCUUGCUUCAAAUGACUUUAUAUUGCAUUGGCUCUAAAUUUUGUUCAUAUCUGCUAUAGGCUCAAAUGUACUUGGUUGGAACAUUUAAUUGCGACCAGUGUUUUUUAUUUUUUAUUAAACUAUCCUAUUCUUAGUCAAUGGGUUUUCUUAUCCUUUUUAUUUAGAUGAAAUUUACAAUGUUUCAUGUGACAAUACUGUUUAUGCAUUCCUUUAGAAUUUAAUUUAGAUGAACAUUAUGCCAUUAUGAUUGGAACAAUGACUAUGGAAUUAAUUUUAUUUACAAAUAGAAUUCAUAGAUAAAACUCAUUUGUAAAUUCCCAUAUUUGGUAUCUUAUGUAUUAAAUAUAUAAUUCAUUUUCAAAAUUUGGUUCAAAUAGAACCAAUUUUUCAAAUAAUUAAAGAUUAGAAUUUUAAAUGAAUUUUUUGUGCACACCAAACAAGUUAAUGAAGUGCUGAAUUACAAAUCAAUUCCAAAUUUUCUGUGGCAUGACGGUGUGAAUUGGCCAACCUUCAGUUUUUU
rnacentral:misc_RNA from 1 species